GACAACGUUGCCCAGCGGCUCGGCGACGGACUCGUAACCUGUUACUCUCUUAGUGCGCAGGCUCGAGCCCUGACGUUGUCA